rnacentral:tRNA from 1 species
UCUAAUAUGGCAGAUUAGUGCAAUGAAUUUAAGAUUCAUAUAUAAAAGAACUUUUGUUAGAA